GGUAGAUUGCCUGCCAUGUAUUUUGAUUGGAUUGGUUGAUGUGAUUUAUUGCUGGGAGAUGGGUGCUUUGAGUGAGUAUGGAAUAUCUACCAUUAAUCCACCAGCAUACAGGUAUGAAGCAGGAACCAAUUGGCGGUAUCAAGAAGCCUUCUUACUAUUAGAAUCUGUAGUGCCACCAUGUGCAAUGGAAACUUGCCCACUUUGACUUUUGGCUGAAGUAGUUAGUUGAUGUGGAUUUUAGGAGGCUUCCCGGUCAUUUAAUUCCAUACUUCCAUCAUAGCUUUCUUCUUAAAGCAUGGGAAGCUGACUCCUAGGUUCUUAAUUCUUGGGAAUGUCAGCACUUCUAUUGUAGUUCUUCUAUGGAAGAUGCUACAUACAUUUUCAGGACAUUCAGAUGCACUAGGAUGACAUCUUUAAAGGGAUAUGUAAGACAGUGGAUGGUUGACCCAAAUAUUCUUUCUUCCAGUUAUGUUCUUUUUGAAGGCAAGUAAGAGAAUAGGGAACAUGCCUACAACAGAUGGGAAACAUUGGACUCUGUAUAGAAAAAGGAAGGAGAGUACAGGAUUUUGUAUAACAAUGCUCUAAUACUAGAGGCAUUUGUGAAUUUUACCGACUUUGUAUAUACAUCUUUAGCUAUGGAAUCACUAUCAAUUUAUUUAUUUUUGGCGGAAUGAAAGAUAAAUUCUUUU